rnacentral:rRNA from 1 species
UACGUAGGGUGCGAGCGUUAAUCGGAAUUACUGGGCGUAAAGCGUGCGCAGGCGGUUUUGUAAGACAGGCGUGAAAUCCCCGGGCUUAACCUGGGAAUUGCGCUUGUGACUGCAAAGCUGGAGUGCGGCAGAGGGGGAUGGAAUUCCGCGUGUAGCAGUGAAAUGCGUAGAUAUGCGGAGGAACACCGAUGGCGAAGGCAAUCCCCUGGGCCUGCACUGACGCUCAUGCACGAAAGCGUGGGGAGCAAACAGG